UACGUAGGGUGCAAGCGUUGUCCGGAAUCAUUGGGCGUAAAGAGCGUGUAGGCGGCCCGAUCAGUCCGCUGUAAAAGUCCAGGGCUCAACCCUGGAAGGCCGGUGGAUACUGUCGGGCUAGAGUCCGGAAGAGGCGAGUGGAAUUCCUGGUGUAGCGGUGAAAUGCGCAGAUAUCAGGAGGAACACCAAUGGCGAAGGCAGCUCGCUGGGACGGUACUGACGCUGAGACGCGAAAGCGUGGGGAGCAAACAGG
rnacentral:rRNA from 1 species